GUUUGAUCCUGGCUCAGGAUGAACGCUGGCGGCGUGCCUAAUACAUGCAAGUCGAGCGAACGGACGAGAAGCUUGCUUCUCUGAUGUUAGCGGCGGACGGGUGAGUAACACGUGGAUAACCUACCUAUAAGACUGGGAUAACUUCGGGAAACCGGAGCUAAUACCGGAUAAUAUUUUGAACCGCAUGGUUCAAAAGUGAAAGACGGUCUUGCUGUCACUUAUAGAUGGAUCCGCGCUGCAUUAGCUAGUUGGUAAGGUAACGGCUUACCAAGGCAACGAUGCAUAGCCGACCUGAGAGGGUGAUCGGCCACACUGGAACUGAGACACGGUCCAGACUCCUACGGGAGGCAGCAGUAGGGAAUCUUCCGCAAUGGGCGAAAGCCUGACGGAGCAACGCCGCGUGAGUGAUGAAGGUCUUCGGAUCGUAAAACUCUGUUAUUAGGGAAGAACAUAUGUGUAAGUAACUGUGCACAUCUUGACGGUACCUAAUCAGAAAGCCACGGCUAACUACGUGCCAGCAGCCGCGGUAAUACGUAGGUGGCAAGCGUUAUCCGGAAUUAUUGGGCGUAAAGCGCGCGUAGGCGGUUUUUUAAGUCUGAUGUGAAAGCCCACGGCUCAACCGUGGAGGGUCAUUGGAAACUGGAAAACUUGAGUGCAGAAGAGGAAAGUGGAAUUCCAUGUGUAGCGGUGAAAUGCGCAGAGAUAUGGAGGAACACCAGUGGCGAAGGCGACUUUCUGGUCUGUAACUGACGCUGAUGUGCGAAAGCGUGGGGAUCAAACAGGAUUAGAUACCCUGGUAGUCCACGCCGUAAACGAUGAGUGCUAAGUGUUAGGGGGUUUCCGCCCCUUAGUGCUGCAGCUAACGCAUUAAGCACUCCGCCUGGGGAGUACGACCGCAAGGUUGAAACUCAAAGGAAUUGACGGC
rnacentral:rRNA from 1 species